rnacentral:rRNA from 1 species
UACGUAGGGGGCAAGCGUUGUCCGGAAUCAUUGGGCGUAAAGCGCGUGUAGGCGGUCCGGUAAGUUCGCUGUGAAAGUCGGGGGCUUAACCCUCGGAUGCCGGUGAAUACUGUCGGGCUUGAGUACGGAAGAGGCGAGUGGAAUUCCUGGUGUAGCGGUGAAAUGCGCAGAUAUCAGGAGGAACACCAAUUGCGAAGGCAGCUCGCUGGGACGUUACUGACGCUGAGACGCGAAAGCGUGGGGAGCAAACAGG